CGCAGCCACCCCAUCUGGGGAUGGCGCUGCAGUGAAAACACCACGAAGGGCUCUCAGGUCCCGCUAGAGCGAGUCCACAAGUCUCAGCUAGGGCAAAGUCAAAGGCUCUCUGAAACAACCCCCCCAAACACCACCAACGAAAACGGGAUUCGAAGGGAAAACAAACAAACAAACAAACACAAAUUCGGUUAGGGCAGUCCCGGCAGGGGAGGGCUCCUGAUAUACCUAACAGGCCAACAAAAAACCUCCAAUAGAGAAAGGCUAAGAGAGCUCGACACCACAAGACGUCUU
rnacentral:lncRNA from 1 species